UUGGAGAGUUUGAUCCUGGCUCAGGACGAACGCUGGCGGCGUGCUUAACACAUGCAAGUCGAACGGAAAGGUCUCUUCGGAGACACUCGAGUGGCGAACGGGUGAGUAACACGUGGGCAAUCUGCCCUGCACACCGGGAUAAGCCUGGGAAACUGGGUCUAAUACCGGAUAGGACCACUUGGCGCAUGCCUUGUGGUGGAAAGCUUUUGCGGUGUGGGAUGGGCCCGCGGCCUAUCAGCUUGUUGGUGGGGUGAUGGCCCACCAAGGCGACGACGGGUAGCCGGCCUGAGAGGGUGUCCGGCCACACUGGGACUGAGAUACGGCCCAGACUCCUACGGGAGGCAGCAGUGGGGAAUAUUGCACAAUGGGCGCAAGCCUGAUGCAGCGACGCCGCGUGGGGGAUGACGGCCUUCGGGUUGUAAACCUCUUUCACCAUCGACGAAGGUCCGGGUUCUCUCGGAUUGACGGUAGGUGGAGAAGAAGCACCGGCCAACUACGUGCCAGCAGCCGCGGUAAUACGUAGGGUGCGAGCGUUGUCCGGAAUUACUGGGCGUAAAGAGCUCGUAGGUGGUUUGUCGCGUUGUUCGUGAAAUCUCACGGCUUAACUGUGAGCGUGCGGGCGAUACGGGCAGACUAGAGUACUGCAGGGGAGACUGGAAUUCCUGGUGUAGCGGUGGAAUGCGCAGAUAUCAGGAGGAACACCGGUGGCGAAGGCGGGUCUCUGGGCAGUAACUGACGCUGAGGAGCGAAAGCGUGGGGAGCGAACAGGAUUAGAUACCCUGGUAGUCCACGCCGUAAACGGUGGGUACUAGGUGUGGGUUUCCUUCCUUGGGAUCCGUGCCGUAGCUAACGCAUUAAGUACCCCGCCUGGGGAGUACGGCCGCAAGGCUAAAACUCAAAGGAAUUGACGGGGGCCCGCACAAGCGGCGGAGCAUGUGGAUUAAUUCGAUGCAACGCGAAGAACCUUACCUGGGUUUGACAUGCACAGGACGCGUCUAGAGAUAGGCGUUCCCUUGUGGCCUGUGUGCAGGUGGUGCAUGGCUGUCGUCAGCUCGUGUCGUGAGAUGUUGGGUUAAGUCCCGCAACGAGCGCAACCCUUGUCUCAUGUUGCCAGCGGGUAAUGCCGGGGACUCGUGAGAGACUGCCGGGGUCAACUCGGAGGAAGGUGGGGAUGACGUCAAGUCAUCAUGCCCCUUAUGUCCAGGGCUUCACACAUGCUACAAUGGCCGGUACAAAGGGCUGCGAUGCCGCGAGGUUAAGCGAAUCCUUUUAAAGCCGGUCUCAGUUCGGAUCGGGGUCUGCAACUCGACCCCGUGAAGUCGGAGUCGCUAGUAAUCGCAGAUCAGCAACGCUGCGGUGAAUACGUUCCCGGGCCUUGUACACACCGCCCGUCACGUCAUGAAAGUCGGUAACACCCGAAGCCAGUGGCCUAACCCUCGGGAGGGAGCUGUCGAAGGUGGGAUCGGCGAUUGGGACGAAGUCGUAACAAGGUAGCCGUACCGGAAGGUGCGGCUGGAUCACCUCCUU
rnacentral:rRNA from 1 species